rnacentral:rRNA from 1 species
UACGAAAGGGGCUAGCGUUGUUCGGAAUUACUGGGCGUAAAGCGCACGUAGGCGGCCAUGUAAGUUGGGGGUGAAAUCCCGGGGCUCAACCCCGGAACUGCCUUCAAAACUACAUAGCUAGAGGAUGUGAGAGGAUAGUGGAAUUCCGAGUGUAGAGGUGAAAUUCGUAGAUAUUCGGAAGAACACUGGUGGCGAAGGCGACUGUCGGGCACAUUUCUGACGUUGAGGUGAGAAAGCGUGGGGAGCAAACAGG